GUGGGGAAUUUUGGACAAUGGGCGAAAGCCUGAUCCAGCAAUGCCGCGUGUGUGAAGAAGGCCUUCGGGUUGUAAAGCACUUUUGGCAGGGAAGAAACAGUGCGUGCUAAUACCAUGCGCGAAUGACGGUACCUGCAGAAUAAGCACCGGCUAACUACGUGCCAGCAGCCGCGGUAAGACGUAGGGUGCAAGCGUUAAUCGGAAUUACUGGGCGUAAAGCGUGCGCAGGCGGGUUUGUAAGACAGGUGUGAAAUCCCCGGGCUCAACCUGGGAACUGCACUUGGGACUGCAAGGCUAGAGUGGGUCAGAGGGAGGUGGAAUUCCGCGUGUAGCAGUGAAAUGCGUAGAGAUGCGGAGGAACACCGAUGGCGAAGGCAGCCUCCAGGGAUAACACUGACGCUCAGGCACGAAAGCGUGGGGAGCAAACAGGAUUAGAAACCCGUGUAGUCC
rnacentral:rRNA from 1 species